rnacentral:rRNA from 1 species
AUUGGACGCUGGCGGCAUGCUUUACACAUGCAAGUCGAGCGGUAACAGGCCGCAAGGUGCUGACGAGUGGCGAACGGGUGAGUAAUGCAUCGGAACGUGCCCAGCCGUGGGGGAUAACUACUCGAAAGAGUAGCUAAUACCGCAUACGAUCUAUGGAUGAAAGCGGGGGACCGUAAGGCCUCGCGCGAUUGGAGCGGCCGAUGUCAGAUUAGGUAGUUGGUGGGGUAAAGGCUCACCAAGCCAACGAUCUGUAGCUGGACUGAGAGGACGACCAGCCACACUGGGACUGAGACACGGCCCAGACUCCUACGGGAGGCAGCAGUGGGGAAUUUUGGACAAUGGGCGCAAGCCUGAUCCAGCAAUGCCGCGUGCAGGAAGAAGGCCUUCGGGUUGUAAACUGCUUUUGUACGGAACGAAACGGCUCUGGUUAAUACCCGGGGCUAAUGACGGUACCGUAAGAAUAAGCACCGGCUAACUACGUG